ACAGACACAACAAAUUGGCGAUGAAUAUGAACUUGAAUAUCAGCGAAUAUCACCAACUACACCGACAGUUACAAGACAACUGAAUUCGGAGUAAAGGAGAGAAACAGUGAGAGGGAAGAGUGAACCAAUACAGAGAAGGUAGCCCUGGAUGCUAGAAAAAGACGUAGUACUGGCAAACUGUGACUUAAUCCUGGCUGGAUCCGCAAGAAUGGGUGAGAAGGGGCCUCGCUGAGAAUCCCAGGGAAGCUCAAGUACUGGAAACAGUCCCACUUGGCCGGCAGACUGGUAACAGACAAUAAUGGAGCUCAUUAGAUUGAUAGUAAUCUGCUGUCUCUGGACUCUGAUCAAAUCAGGUGCUGGUGACUGAGUCAGUCUAAACAUCCAGGGCUAAUUACGAGCAUCUAAGAUUCUCUAUUAACCCAGAGCAGGACAGAGUCACCUCGGAUGAGUUUCCACCAGCUCCAUUUUAAAGGCCUGCAGUCCCAAGAGAACAGAUCACAGUUGGGCCCAGCUUUUCACAUUUGGGAGCUGCUAUGGGACUCUGCUGAGCUUAAAUCUACCAAUGUAUUGAUGCAAUAAAACUAGCAACGGCACAGAAGAUUGCCUGGAUUGAAAAGCGAGUGGAGAGUUUCAAGAUGUGAGAAGAGGAGUAAUGGAUAAAAAGCUCUCAGCAGAAAAGACUAUUUCCUCAGUAUGAUCAGCAACCUGAGAGACAUGCAGACUCCAUAUAGACAGCACCCGAGGGACGCGCAGACUCCAUAUAGACAGCACCCAAGGAACGUGCAGACGCCAUAUAGACAGCACCCGAGAAACGUGCAGAUGCCAUAUAGACAGCACCCGAGAGACAUGCAGACUCCAUAUAGACAGCACCCGAGGGACGUGCAGAGUGCAGAUAGACAGCACCUGAGGGACGUGCAGACUCCAUUUAGACAGCACCCAAGGUUUGUAUUGAGUCUCUGGCAUGGCGGUACA